GUACCACACAAGCUCUAAUAAAAUAAAAACUCUUGUAAUACAUUCAUUUCAUAAAUAAAAUCAAUCCGACUACAAGACAAAUCCGAAUUGAAUAGUGCAAACACAAAAACCACUACAAAAGAGAUAUUGUCAAACUUUGACCAUAGCUUCUAAUGAGAAAAUCAAUGACAAAUUUUAGUACAAAACACAAAAACCACUACAAAAGAUAGUCAAACUCUAGCCCUACUUUCUUCCGCGACCUGUCACUUGAUGAGAACCGCCCACUUCAUCGAAAAAGGAAGCCCUCAAACUACCUGUAUAUAUAAAUGUACAAGAAAUUAGGCAUUUGCUUGAUAAUACAUCAUUUGGCAGCAUAUAACUUGUCUUUCUCUCUUAGAAACCACACAAAUUCAACAUACGCCUCAAAGUAGCAUAAAAACAUUGCUAAAGUAUUGCAACUCAGGAUCUCGCGUCAUGUCACUAACGCGCUUAGGCAGCAUGCUCAUAAUUCAUCCUAGUUUCAAGAGGAAAAAUAGUAUGACCUUGGGGACAUUAUGAUUAUCCCAAUUACUCUAAAAUUUGACAAUGGAUGUGUAAAUUCAAGAAUACCAACUACAUUUUCUACCAAGCACAACAGUCAUGUCAGAAUAUAUUUGAAUAAUUAAAUAUUUAUAGGAUACAACUUACCAAUUAAUGAUCAACUAUUAUUUUUGCAGUCUCUUUGCAUCAUUGAUAACAUCUUCAACCAUAUGGGUAGCCCACUCCUCGUUCACCUCAUCUAGCUUCUCUUUAGAGUAUGUAGAAUGUCUAUGGCGAGAAAAAUACUUCAAAUAUAAAAGUAACACAAAAUUGAGUCAGAAUUGAAUUACACUACAUUUUAUA
rnacentral:lncRNA from 1 species